GACGAACGCUGGCGGCGUGCUUAACACAUGCAAGUCGAACGGAAAGGCCCUUCGGGGUCCUCGAGUGGCGAACGGGUGAGUAACACGUGGGUGAUCUGCCCUGCACUUUGGGAUAAGCCUGGGAAACUGGGUCUAAUACCGGAUAGGACCACGGCAUUCAUGUGCUGUGGUGGAAAGCUUUUGCGGUGUGGGAUGGGCCCGCGGCCUAUCAGCUUGUUGGUGGGGUAAUGGCCUACCAAGGCGACGACGGGUAGCCGGCCUGAGAGGGUGACCGGCCACACUGGGACUGAGAUAGGGCCCAGACUCGAACGGGAGGCAGCAGUGGGGAAUAUUGCACAAUGGGCGCAAGCCUGAUGCAGCGACGCCGCGUGAGGGAUGACGGCCUUCGGGUUGUAAACCUCUUUCGCCAGGGACGAAGCGCAAGUGACGGUACCUGGAGAUGAAGGACCGGCCAACUACGUG
rnacentral:rRNA from 1 species